AGUGAACGCUGGCGGUAGGCCUAACACAUGCAAGUCGAACGGCAGCACAGUAAGAGCUUGCUCUUACGGGUGGCGAGUGGCGGACGGGUGAGGAAUACAUCGGAAUCUACUUUUUCGUGGGGGAUAACGUAGGGAAACUUACGCUAAUACCGCAUACGACCUACGGGUGAAAGCAGGGGAUCUUCGGACCUUGCGCGAUUGAAUGAGCCGAUGUCGGAUUAGCUAGUUGGCGGGGUAAAGGCCCACCAAGGCGACGAUCCGUAGCUGGUCUGAGAGGAUGAUCAGCCACACUGGAACUGAGACACGGUCCAGACUCCUACGGGAGGCAGCAGUGGUGAAUAUUGGACAAUGGGCGCAAGCCUGAUCCAGCCAUACCGCGUGGGUGAAGAAGGCCUUCGGGUUGUAAAGCCCUUUUGUUGGGAAAGAAAAGCAGCAGGUUAAGACCCCGCUGUUCGGACGGUACCCAAAGAAUAAGCACCGGCUAACUUCGU
rnacentral:rRNA from 1 species